AACUUUCAACAACGGAUCUCUUGGUUCUCGCAUCGAUGAAGAGCGCAGCGAAAUGCGAUACCUAGUGUGAAUUGCAGCCAUCGUGAAUCAUCGAGUUCUUGAACGCACAUUGCGCCCGUCGGUAUUCCGGCGGGCAUGCCUGUCUGAGCGUCGUUU
rnacentral:rRNA from 6 species